rnacentral:misc_RNA from 1 species
AAAAUGCGAUAAGUAAUGUGAAUUGCAGAAUUCAGUGAAUCAUCGAAUCUUUGAACGCACAUUGCGCCCGCCAGUAUUCUGGCGGGCAUGCCUGUUCGAGCGUCAUUUCAACCCUCAAGCCCCCGGGUUUGGUGUUGGGGAUCGGGCUGCGGUUCUACCGCGUCCCGGCCCCGAAAUCUAGUGGCGGUCUCGCUGCAGCCUCCAUUGCGUAGUAGCUAACACCUCGCAACUGGAACGCGGCGCGGCCAAGCCGUUAAACCCCCAAGUUCUGAAUGUUGACCUCGGAUCAGGUAGGAAUACCCGCUGAACUUAAGC